UCCCGGUCCGUCUCCGCGUGCAUUCGUUGCUCCCCGAAGAGCCAGCCACACCACGAAAGCAAGCGCAACGACGUGGGAUACGGCUCCCAACCCGCCUGCCGACGCGCAAGGGGAUGACACAUGAUCCAGUC
rnacentral:misc_RNA from 1 species